AGUGAACGCUGGCGGUAGGCCUAACACAUGCAAGUCGAACGAGUGGCGGACGUGUGAGGAAUACAUCGGAAUCUGCUCUGUCGUGGGGGAUACCGUCGGGAAACUUACGCUAAUACCGCAUACGCUUGACUGAUCCGAUGUCGGAUUAGCUAGUUGGGGGGGUAAAGGCCCACCACGGCGACGAUCCGUAGCUGGUCUGAGAGGAUGACCAGCCACACUGGAACUGAGACACGGUCCAGACUCCUAAGGGAGGCAGCAGUGGGGAAUAUUGGACAAUGGGCGAAAGCCUGAUCCAGCCAUGCCGCGUGGGUGAAGAAGGCCUUCGGGUUGUAAAGCCCGUUUGUUGGGAAAGCGGUACCCAAAGAAUAAGCACCGGCUAACUUCGUGCCAGCAGCCGCGGUAAUUC
rnacentral:rRNA from 1 species